AUGUAUCGAUGAUGUUUAAAUAUUACUGCGUUAUCUAUCUGUAAAUUCCUCAACAGGAUUUGAAGAUAAUGAAAACCUACUGAGAUCUGAUUUUGUAUCCAUUACGAGUUUAUUAUUUUAUAUUUUUUUAUGAAUUUUUUAAAGGAAGAUUGAAAUUAGAGGGUCGAUGAUGAUGCAUUUCACUUUGUUAUCCUUGCACUUUGAUACAUAUAUGAAGAAAACUAUGGGGAAAGUUAUUCUGAGAGCUUU
rnacentral:lncRNA from 1 species